AUUUUACGUGCACAUUUCACAUGUUAAAUAAUUGUAUUUCGAGGUGUAUUUAGUUGGUUUCUGACAAAUUUAACUGUGACUUGUUGAUAAUGGCCGGAACAUCAUCAUGUUCAAACGUCGAUAUACCUCAAAAACGGCUAACUUCAGUAAUGGUGAGGUAGCAUUAUUGAAAGAGCUCGUAAAAGAAAGGAGACACGUGUUGCGAGUGCAAAAAAUCGGACACUGUUAGCCUUAAACAAAAAAAUCAGUGCUGGGAUGAUUUAACUAACUGACAAAACAGCAGUAUGCAGCAGAAAAAACUAUGUUCUUGGAACUGGUGGAGGUGGAUGUGUGACACGAAGAUCGAUAGUGAUGUUUUAGAAAUAUUGUCAACACAGGCUACCGGACUGCCUGCAGUAGUAGAUUCGGACACUGUAGUUAUAGUAACUCAAGAUUCGUGUAUGGGAAAUUCCAAACAAAGCAGGAUAUGGGAUGAUUACACACCAUCUAUGCUACAAUCACCACGGGCUCCACAGCUGGUAAUUAGUGAGGAUCAGCAUGUAACGCCGCGCCGAUGGAAUCCGAAACUGCAGAAGGAAUAAAUGGUGCAGCUUUUGCACAAAAUAGUGCACCUGUAGAGAAUCGCAGUGCAUCUCAUUCAAAUGGUAAAAAAGCAGUCAGUGAUUUCAAACGUAAACGCCCCGUGACAGGCACAGUUACUAACGAAAAAUGGUCUCGACUUGCUGAUAGCAAAGAAGAAUUGGUUCGACUCCAAAUCGAAGGCUUGAAAAAGGAACAAGCAUUGAACAAAAAAAAACUGGAAUUAGAAAUAGAGGAAAAAGCAGUUAGAUUGGAAAUUUCGAAACUGGAAUUAAAGCUAUUACAAAAACAA